rnacentral:rRNA from 1 species
AUAAGGGCGCACGGUGGAUGCCUUGGCACUAGGAGCCGAUGAAGGACGGGACUAACACCGAUAUGCUUUGGGGAGCUGUACGUAAGCUAUGAUCCAGAGAUUUCCGAAUGGGGGAACCCAACAUCUUUAAUAGGAUGUUACGAUUGUGUGAAUACAUAGCACAUUCGAGGUAGACGCAGAGAACUGAAACAUCUAAGUACCUGCAGGAAGAGAAAGAAAAUUCGAUUCCCUGAGUAGCGGCGAGCGAAACGGGAAAAGCCCAAACCAGCAAGCUUGCUUGUUGGGGUUGUAGGACUCCAAUAUGGUAGUUCUUUCAGAUAGUCGAAUGACUUGGAAAAGUCAGUCAAAGAGGGUAAAAACCCCGUAGACGAAAUGUGGAAGACACCUAGGAGGAUCCUGAGUACGGCGGAACACGAGAAAUUCCGUCGGAAUCCGGGAGGACCAUCUCCCAAGGCUAAAUACUCCCUAGUGACCGAUAGUGAACCAGUACCGUGAGGGAAAGGUGAAAAGCACCCCGGAAGGGGAGUGAAAUAGAACCUGAAACCGUGUGCCUACAACAAGUCAAAGCCCGUUAAUGGGUGAUGGCGUGCCUUUUGUAGAAUGAACCGGCGAGUUACGAUUGCAUGCGAGGUUAAGUUGAAGAGACGGAGCCGCAGCGAAAGCGAGUCUGAAUAGGGCGUUUGAGUAUGUAGUCGUAGACCCGAAACCAUGUGAUCUACCCAUGUCCAGGUUGAAGGUGCGGUAAAACGCACUGGAGGACCGAACCCACGUACGUUGAAAAGUGCGGGGAUGAGGUGUGGGUAGCGGAGAAAUUCCAAACGAACUUGGAGAUAGCUGGUUCUCUCCGAAAUAGCUUUAGGGCUAGCCUCGGAAUUGAGAAUGAUGGAGGU